rnacentral:rRNA from 1 species
UACGGAGGGUGCAAGCGUUAAUCGGAAUUACUGGGCGUAAAGCGUGCGCAGGCGGUUUGUUAAGUCUGUUGUGAAAUCCCCGAGCUCAACUUGGGAAUUGCAAUGGAUACUGGCAGGCUGGAGUAUGGUAGAGGAAGGUGGAAUUCCCGGUGUAGCAGUGAAAUGCGUAGGGAUCGGGAGGAACACCAGCGGCGAAGGCGGCCUUCUGGACCAAUACUGACGCUCAUGCACGAAAGCGUGGGGAGCAAACAGG